rnacentral:rRNA from 1 species
AUUGAACGCUGGCGGCAUGCCUUACACAUGCAAGUCGAACGGCAGCAUGGAAGAGCUUGCUCUUCUGAUGGCGAGUGGCGAACGGGUGAGUAAAGCAUCGGAACGUACCGUGUAGUGGGGGGAUAACGUAGCGAAAGUUACGCUAAUACCGCAUACGCACUGAGGUGGAAAGCAGGGGAUCGCAAGACCUUGCGCUAUACGAGCGGCCGAUGUCAGAUUAGCUAGUUGGUAGGGUAAAGGCCUACCAAGGCGACGAUCUGUAGCGGGUCUGAGAGGAUGAUCCGCCACACUGGGACUGAGACACGGCCCAGACUCCUACGGGAGGCAGCAGUGGGAAUUUUGGACAAUGGGCGAAAGCCUGAUCCAGCCAUGCCGCGUGAGUGAAG